ensembl:lncRNA
GAUGGACAUGUUUUUGUUGCUGUAGGAGCAUAAGUCCAGGUUAUCAUUUCAAACCAAACAUCAAACAUCAGCAACAACGUUCGCAUACCAUCUGCAGUUCAAUGAUGGCCCAGAAUCAACAUUUGAGUAAGACAACAGAGGCACAACCUUCAGAGAAAAAGAAAACUAGAUGGUGUGAUGGAUUCAAGGUGGAGUGAGUUUCAUGCUUUCAACCUAAAAUAAGUAAAGAGGGAAUUUUUAUUUAAAGAAAAGGCAGCCAGUUUUUAGAAAGAACAUGAUAUUUCAAAUUAGAGUUUUCAGCUAAAUUAUACAUUAAAAUAUUAGCAGAAUGAUCUAUAUCUUUGUUUAAAUCAGUCUUUAUGAAAAAAAGUAUUUCUUUGGUGAGAUUCCUGGUUAAGAGUUUAUUAAUGUUGAAAAUUUAGAAAUAUUUUGAUAUCUUCGCUUUGGUUCUUGAUAGACCAAAAGUUAAAUACAAAUGUGAUUAAAAUAAAAAAUAGUCUCUAUGUAAUGAACAAUAUGUAAAAGAAUACAUAUUCUUAAUUUUGACCUAUAGACAGAGAAGAUUAAUCAGUCUGGUGAAUAACUUUGUGAUAUUGACCUAUUUAAUCUUUUUUAGAGAGCAGCAUUUUUAUUCUAUUAACUUAAUAAAAAUCUAAUCUGAUGGAAAAGAAAUCUGUAAUAACAAUUAAAAGAUCCAGUCCGAUGACCUGGUUGAUGACUAAGGAAAGUCAUUUAAUUUUUCCAUAUGAAAGUUGGUAAAAGUAACAAUCCUGUCUCUUGAUUUUGUCACAAAAUGGUGUGACACUAAGUGAUAUAGACUAUAUUGGGAUUUUUCACAGACAUCAGAAAGCACUCCUUGAACACAGUGUUAAGGAAACCAAGACUCAGGGAAACUGAGAGGUUUGAUUGAGUCACCGAGGUUGUAAAUGGAAAACUCGAACCCAAGUCAAAUUCUUUAAACCCCCAUGGGGAUGACUAGAGGAAAUUUUUUUAAAAAAUCAAUCAGGGCUGACUUGAUCAAUAUUUUAAGUGUUUUCCUCAAAGUUGUAGUUUUAUUUAUCUGAAUAAAGACCAGAGAUCAGAGUCAAUUGCAAUCAUGUUAUAUAAAGUCUUUUAACUUUGUCCAGGGAACAGGAAGUCUGUUUGUUUUUCAGAGAUUGCUGGUAAAGUCUAUUCUGAUGAAAUAUUUAAAUAAUAUUUAAGCAGAAAAGCAAUCACCAGGAGAAGGUACUGGCUAACACAAUUGUACCACAUUUUAUUGCCAAGAGGGAAUAUGGUAUGCUGGAUUAUUUAACUUUUAAACAUUGGGUAUUCCAGGGAUUUCAUUUGUACACGCAUGCAAGGUGACAGCAAACUAGCUGAAGUAGGUAAGAAGGCCUGAGUGGCCUCUUGUCCCAUAUCUGGAGAAGAGCUUUGAGUUAGCAAGUUGUCACUGUUUCUAAAGCAUUUUAAUUGCAGCCCAAUAAUAUACCAGAGAAGCAAUAAUAAUAAUAUAUUUAGCACUUACCAUAUGCAAGACACUGUCUUAGUGUUUUACUUCUACCAGUGGAUUCAUUCCUUACCAUAAUUCAAUCAGCCAGUUGUUAUUAUCUCUUUUUUGCAGAUAAAAACAACAGCAACAACAACAACAAAAACUUAGAGGGCAAAUGACUUCCUUUAAGCCCUUAAACUGGUAAAUGAUGGAGCCAAACUCUAAAUUCAAGCAGUCUUAAUCCCAAUCCCAUGAUCUGAAUUGUAUUCCAUAUUGCUAAAGUAACUGUGGGUUUCCAUGUUAGUAUCCUCAAGAUAUUCUGGUAAGCAUGGAUUUAUAAGUGAGCUAUUUAGUAAUCUUCCUUAUUCUAUACUUCUAAAACUUCAUACCACCUAAUUCAGUUUCAAGCAAACAUAUGUGCCUGCGCACACACGAGUACGCACGUUGCCAAUGUGUGUACACAGACUCAGCAGGUGGAAAUGAGUAAAAGUGCAAAUAGAUAAGAAUGUUGAGUAACAACAACAUACUUUGAGUCUUUCUUACCUCUUUCCUAAUUUUUGAAAGUGAAUUAAGUAGGUUAUUUAAGCCCUGACAGUACAUCAUUCAUCUUUACGCUUGUCAUUUCUGGGCUUCAGAUUUCUUAAACAGCGUAUUAUGAUGGAAAUUCUUUAAAAACACAAAAGUAAUGCAUUGUCAUCAAAAAAACUAAAUAGUAGGGCAAAAGUAAAAUUUCUCCAUUCUACCUUCAUCCCAUUCUCCUUCCAGAAAUGUUUAGGAUACUCAUCCCAUUUGUAACCCCAACACUGCCCCACAAUUUUCCUCUGACUCACCUUUUUCCAGCCAUUCUAGCCUUUUUGCUGUUUCUCAAGAAUGCCAAGUGCACUUCUGACAUGAAAAAACUUGUACUUGAUCUUUCCUCAUCUGAAAUGUUCUACUCCCAGAUAUCUUGCUCUUUCAUUUCAUUGAAAGCUUUGUCUAAACAUUACCUUAUCCUUGACCACCCCAUAUAAAAUAAUAUUUCCUAUCCAUAAUUCUUGAACCAAAUUGACUUUUUUCAUAGUAUUUAUCACCAUCUGACACUGACACACCCAUGCAUCCAUAUAUGUAGGUAUAUGUGUAUAGUAGGCCCUUAAUGGAUUAAAACAACAUAAAUUUAUUAAAGUUCUGUAAUUAUCAUAGAGUUCUGUUGUUGAGAACUCUGAAAUGGGGUUCAACUGGCUAAAAUCACGGUUUUGGCAGGAGUCUCCUUUCUGGAGACUCUAGGGGACAGUUCAUUCCCCUGUCUUUUCCAAACUGCUCAAAGUUCUUGGCUAAUUUACUCUUUUCCAUAUUGAAAGCUGGCAAUGGCCAGUCCAAUAUUUCUCACACUGCCUCACAUUAACACUUACUCGUCUGCCUCCCUCUUCCAUACUUAAAGGACCCUUGGGAUUACAUUGAGUUAACUAGGAUAAUUCUGGAUAACCUCUUUAAGGUCACCUGAUUAGCAACCUUAAUUCCAUUUGCAACCUUAAUACUCCCUUGCCAUGUGACCUAAUACAUUCAUAGGUAGGCAGAGUAAUGGUGCUUAAAGACAUCUAAGCCCUAAUCUCCAAAACCUGUAAAAAUACAUUUUUUUUCCUAGAGGAUGUCAUUUGCCCUCUCUGUAUCUAAGUUUUUUCAUCUGUGAAAGGCAAAUAAUAGCAUCUGGAUGACAGAAUUAUGGUAAGGAAUAAACCCACUACUAGAAGUAAAAUACUAGAACAAUGCCUGGCAUAUAGUAAAAACUCAAUAAAUGCUAGCUACUAUU